UACGUAGGGAGCGAGCGUUGUCCGGAUUCAUUGGGCGUAAAGAGCUCGUAGGCGGCUUGAUAAGUCGGAUGUGAAACCUCCAGGCUCAACCUGGAGUCGCCAUCCGAUACUGUCAUGGCUAGAGUCCGGUAGGGGCCCACGGAACUCCUGGUGUAGCGGUGAAAUGCGCAGAUAUCAGGAAGAACACCCGUGGCUAAGGCGGCUCUCUAGUACGGUACUGACGCUGAGACGCGAAAGCGUGGGGAGCGAACAGG
rnacentral:rRNA from 1 species